rnacentral:rRNA from 1 species
AAUAGAUACCCAGGUAGUCCACGCCCUAAACGAUGUCAACUAGUUGUUGGGGAUUCAUUUCCUUAGUAACGUAGCUAACGCGUGAAGUUGACCGCCUGGGGAGUACGGUCGCAAGAUUAAAACUCAAAGGAAUUGACGGGGACCCGCACAAGCGGUGGAUGAUGUGGAUUAAUUCGAUGCAACGCGAAAAACCUUACCUACCCUUGACAUGGUCGGAACCCUGCUGAAAGGUGGGGGUGCUCGAAAGAGAACCGGCGCACAGGUGCUGCAUGGCUGUCGUCAGCUCGUGUCGUGAGAUGUUGGGUUAAGUCCCGCAACGAGCGCAACCCUUGUCCUUAGUUGCUACGCAAGAGCACUCUAAGGAGACUGCCGGUGACAAACCGGAGGAAGGUGGGAUGACGUCAAGUCCUCAUGGCCCUUAUGGGUAGGGCUUCACACGUCAUACAAUGGUCGGAACAGAGGGUUGCCAAGCCGCGAGGUGGAGCCAAUCCCAGAAACCGAUCGUAGUCCGGAUCGCAGUCUGCAACUCGACUG